rnacentral:rRNA from 1 species
GUCCACGCCGUAAACGAUGAGUGUUAGGUGCUGUGGGUAUUGACCCCCGCGGUGCCGUAGCUAACGCGUUAAACACUCCGCCUGGGGAGUACGGCCGCAAGGCUAAAACUCAAAGGAAUUGACAGGGCCCGCACAAGCGGUGGAGCAUGUGGUUCAAUUCGACGCAACGCGCAGAACCUUACCUGGGUUAAAUCCAUACGAACCUUGCAGAGAUGCAGGGGUGCUCUUCGGAGAAUGUAUGAGAAGGUGCUGCAUGGCUGUCGU